UCUUAGCAUCACCAGUUACCAAGUACACAUAGGACCAAGCUCCAGCUUGCAAUAAAUGACUCUUUGCUGUUUGCAUUGAUCAUGGUCUCUGGUGGUCUGAGAGGGGGCGUCCGAAAUCUGAGCACUUUAUGUGGGAGCUUGUCCGGGAUAGCCCCCCCAUAAGCCACACAGAUACCUGAUCAGCGAGUCGUCCAGCUAGCCGGUGGGAUUCAAAAGAUCCGUUGAUGAAUUGCCUUGCUAAACAAGCGAGCCCUGGGAAAAUGAAGCUUAACAAAGAUCACCAUGAUACACUUAAUAACCAGCAG